rnacentral:rRNA from 1 species
CCUACGGGUGGCAGCAGUGGGGAAUAUUGGACAAUGGGGGAAACCCUGAUCCUGCGACGCCGCGUGAGUGAAGAAGUAUUUCGGUACGUAAAGCUCCAUCAGCAGGGAAGAAAAUGACGGUACCUGACUAAGAAGCCCCGGAUAACUACGUGCCAGCAGCCGCGGUAACACGGAGGGGGCAAGCGUUAUCCGGAUUUACGGGGUGUAAAGGGAGCGUAGACGGCAGCGCAAGUCUGGAGUGAAAUGCCGGGGCCCAACCCCGGAACUGCUUUGGAAACUGUUAAGCUGGAGUGCAGGAGAGGUAAGCGGAAUUCCUGGUGUAGCGGUGAAAUACGUAGAGAUCAGGAGGAACACCGGCGGCGAAGGCGGCUUACUGGACUGUAACUGACGUUGAGGCUCGAAGGCGUGGGGAGCAAACAGGAUUAGAUACCCUUGUAGUC